rnacentral:rRNA from 1 species
GGACAAAGACUGACGCUCCAGGUGCGAAAGCGUGGGGAGCAAACAGGAUUAGAUACCUGGUAGUCCACGCCGUAAACGAUGUCGACUUGGAGGUUGUGCCCUUGAGGCGUGGCUUCCGGAGCUAACGCGUUAAGUCGACCGCCUGGGGAGUACGGCCGCAAGGUUAAAACUCAAAUGAAUUGACGGGGGCCCGCACAAGCGGUGGAGCAUGUGGUUUAAUUCGAUGCAACGCGAAGAACCUUACCUGGUCUUGACAUCCACAGAACUUUCCAGAGAUGGAUUGGUGCCUUCGGGAACUGUGAGACAGGUGCUGCAUGGCUGUCGUCAGCUCGUGUUGUGAAAUGUUGGGUUAAGUCCCGCAACGAGCGCAACCCUUAUCCUUUGUUGCCAGCGGUCCGGCCGGGAACUCAAAGGAGACUGCCAGUGAUAAACUGGAGGAAGGUGGGGAUGACGUCAAGUCAUCAUGGCCCUUACGACCAGGGCUACACACGUGCUACAAUGGCGCAUACAAAGAGAAGCGAACUCGCGAGAGCAAGCGGACCUCAUAAAGUGCGUCGUAGUCCGGAUUGGAGUCUGCAACUCGACUCCAUGAAGUCGGAAUCGCUAGUAAUCGUGGAUCAGAAUGCCACGGUGAAUACGUUCCCGGGCCUUGUACACACCGCCCGUCACACCUUGGGCGUGGGUCCAAAAGAAGUAGGUAGCUUAACCUUCGGGCGGGCGC